AGUUUUUAUAAACUAGAGCUCCCGAGUAGUAGUAGUGAUCUUGAAACUAAAAGAGUUUGGCGGUACUUAAGUCUUUUUAGAGGAACCUGUAUCUUAAUCGAUAAUCCUCGUAUGAUCUAACCUUGAAUAAAAUAGUUUGUAUAUCGUUGUCCGUAGAUUAAUUUUGAAGAAGAUUUUCUAAAUAAAUAAUUUUAGGAUGUCAAAUCAAGGUGCAGUUUAUAUUAAGGGGAAUAUGGGUUACAAUAAGAGUAUUUAUAUGAAUAAAUAUAUGAAAUUAUGUUUUGAAGGUGGAUUUAAUUGUAAUUUUUUAUUAGAAUAGAAAUAUGAAUAAGUACUGAAGUAUGC
rnacentral:rRNA from 1 species